rnacentral:rRNA from 1 species
UGGGGAAUAUUGCACAAUGGGCGCAAGCCUGAUGCAGCCAUGCCGCGUGUAUGAAGAAGGCCUUCGGGUUGUAAAGCACUUUCAGCGGGGAGGAAGGCGAUAAGGUUAAUAACCUCAUCGAUUGACGCUACCCGCAGAAGAAGCACCGGCUAACUCCGUGCCAGCAGCCGCGGUAAUAAGGAGGGUGCAAGCGUUAAUCGGAAUUACUGGGCGUAAAGCGCACGCAGGCGGUCUGUCAAGUCGGAUGUGAAAUCCCCGGGCUCAACCUGGGAAAUGCAUUGGGAACUGGCAGGGUAGAGUGAUGUAGAGGGGGGUAGAAAUCCAGGUGUAGCGGUGAAAUGCGUAGAGAUCUGGAGGAAAACCGGUGGCGGAGGCGGGCCCCUGGACAAAGACUGACGCUCAGGUGCGAAAGCGUGGGGGGCAAACAAG